CCCUUAGAUGUUCUGGGCUGCACGCGUGUUACAAUCGGGAGUACAACAAGGUUGCAAAUCCUAGUGGAUGAGUGGUUCUUCGAAAUUUUCUGAAGACUGGGAUAGUUGAUUGAAAUUAUUCAACUCAAACGAGGAAUUCCUUGUAAUUGUAAUUCAUUAUAUUGUAAUGAAUACGUCCCUGCCCUUUGUACACACCGCCCGUCGCUCCUACCGAUUGAACGAUCCGGUGAAUUAUUUGGAGUAGCUCUGGAAGUUGCAGAACUUCCUAUGUCACGAAAUUUUGUAAACCUUAUCGUUUAGAGGAAGGAAAAGUCGUAACA
rnacentral:rRNA from 1 species